rnacentral:rRNA from 1 species
UCGUCCAGGGGGCCGCCUUCGCCACCGGUAUUCCUCCAGAUCUCUACGCAUUUCACCGCUACACCUGGAAUUCUACCCCCCUCUACGAGACUCAAGCUUGCCAGUAUCAGAUGCAGUUCCCAGGUUGAGCCCGGGGAUUUCACAUCUGACUUAACAAACCGCCUGCGUGCGCUUUACGCCCAGUAAUUCCGAUUAACGCUUGCACCCUCCGUAUUACCGCGGCUGCUGGCACGGAGUUAGCCGGUGCUUCUUCUGCGGGUAACGUCAAUGAGCAAAGGUAUUAACUUUACUCCCUUCCUCCCCGCUGAAAGUACUUUACAACCCGAAGGCCUUCUUCAUACACGCGGCAUGGCUGCAUCAGGCUUGCGCCCAUUGUGCAAUAUUCCCCACUGCUGCCUCCCGUAGGAGUCUGGACCGUGUCUCAGUUCCAGUGUGGCUGGUCAUCCUCUCAGACCAGCUAGGGAUCGUCGCCUUGGUGAGCCGUUACCCCACCAACAAGCUAAUCCCAUCUGGGCACAUCCGAUGGCAAGAGGCCCGAAGGUCCCCCUCUUUGGUCUUGCGACGUUAUGCGGUAUUAGCUACCGUUUCCAGUAGUUAUCCCCCUCCAUCAGGCAGUUUCCCAGACAUUACUCACCCGUCCGCCACUCGUCAGCAAAGAAGCAAGCUUCUUCCUGUUACCGUUCGACUUGCAUGUGUUAG